rnacentral:misc_RNA from 1 species
GAUUUGAUGUCUCUGUGAUAAAUUGGUGGAUUCAUGGCAGAAUGGAGAUGGGCAAUCGCAUUAGCAGUUUCAGCAGCAAUGGUGAGCCGUAUUGUCCAAGGAAGCCCUAUGCCCCUCUCUCUUUGUAAAUGCUGACACNGACACAGGGUUCCAUUAGGCAUAAAUUCAUAGACAAGGAUUGGUUCACCCUCCUCUAUGCAGCAACCUAAGAGGCGGACCAAAUUUGGAUGGCUAACAGAGGAAAGGAGCUUAAUUUCAUUCAUGACUUGAUCAAUGCUAUCAGUAUCUCUAUGUCGGAUCNNNNNNNNNNNNCAAUCAUCAUUGUGGAGUUUUCCUGCAUAAACUGUACCAUAGGCUCCAGUUCCCAGCCUUUGUUUCUCUGAGAAGCCAUUGGUGGCUUUUUCAAUUUCUCUAUAUGCGUAAAAGGGAACACUAGAAUUGCCUGCAGCUUCACAUAGAAGUCGCUUUGCACUCAACCUGUUUCUCAAAGAAGUGGAUCGCCGUCGAACAAAGUAACAGAUAAGGGCCAGACC